UACGUAGGGGGCUAGCGUUGUCCGGAAUCAUUGGGCGUAAAGCGCGUGUAGGCGGUCCGGUAAGUCCGCUGUGAAAGUCGGGGGCUCAACCCUCGAAUGCCGGUGGAUACUGUCGGGCUAGAGUGCGGAAGAGGCGAGUGGAAUUCCUGGUGUAGCGGUGAAAUGCGCAGAUAUCAGGAGGAACACCGAUUGCGAAGGCAGCUCGCUGGGACGUAACUGACGCUGAGAACGCGAAAGCCGUGGGGAGCAAACACGG
rnacentral:rRNA from 1 species